CAAAAACCUGCGUUAAGGAUUGUAGCGACAUCCUUUUUUUGCUUCGAUAAAUGGCAAAAAAAGAUACAGUGAAAAGCCUGACCUGAU
rnacentral:sRNA from 1 species